UGCAGCACAGCAAUCCAUUCUUA
rnacentral:piRNA from 1 species